UCCAGGGGUAUUUCACAUGGGCUCCCAGCCCUCUGCAUGUGCCUGGGCUGUUUCUCAGUUCCAGCCUGUUGAUCCCUGCACUGGCCAAGGGCUGAUGCUUCCCCUGCCAUGCUGACUUCAAGUCAUGCAGACACCUGAUGGAAGAGUCUUCCAGGCAGAAGGAAGGACAAAUACCCUUGAUAUACAUGUACUUGGCCGGCAUGAGGAAGAGCAAUGUGGAAGGAUACAGAUAGUUGGGAACAUAUAGUGCCUGUGAAUGACCAGUAUGCUCACUCCAAUAACAUCAGGCAAGCAAUUCCACAUAAUACUGAAGAAGGCUGUUGAAGUGACUGAAUCUGGCCAAAUAUUCUGAGCGUUUCGGAGGGAUUUUUAACAUUCUAAAUGCUAUCUGGAACAUCGAUGCAGCAUGGGAAGAAGUCACACAGCCAUGCAUGAACAGCAUUUGGAAGAAAGUUUUGAAGACAUAUGUGAACACAUUCAAAAUGUUAACAGAGAUUCUGCCGUAUUCAUAAGCUUGUUGGCAUCGAGGCUGAAGAGCUUUCCAAUGAGAAGCUGGAAAAAGAAAGAAGUAAAGAAGUUGGGGCAAAGAUAGAAGAAAUUGUUCCUGAGGCACCAAGAAAGUUCAUAGCAAAUAAACUGGCAGCGGUGUUUUCUACUAUCAGCAGUGGUGUGUGAAUGUUAGGACAAAUGGGUGACAAUUACAAUUGCUAUCACACACAUAUUGUUCCAUAGUCUCUCCUGUUCUUUGCCAGCCUUAUUACCUUUUCUUUUUUCCCUAUUAAUCCAAGAGCUCUAUGGGAGUAAAAAGGAUGCUCUUCCUUGCAAUGAAGAAAUAUGUAAUGAAAAGAAAAAACAUAUUGUCAAAACUUGGUAUCUACCUGAAGAACACUUUGCCUUCUAAACCAUAAACAAGUGUCAGUGUCCCAGUGCCUUCUGCCAGCUAUUCUCAAGACUCAUCAGAAGAGAGUGAAAUUGAUGACUCUGUAGCUGUAGCAUCCCCAUUAUCAGCACUUAAUUUUAGCUUAAUGCUUUGAACAUUCUUCAGGCUCAGUGUGCUUUCAUCUGUACACAUUAAUGGAAAUCUGGAGAUAGAAAGAUUUGGGUAUUGGUUCAGCAGCUCAAUGAUGCCAGGGCCAGUGUGUUGGCAUUCUUCUGGCCUUAUCCUCAUGGUUGCAAAUUGGUUCCUGCUGUCCCCAGUCAAAGGAGGAAGAAGAGGGAAUUGGCAGCAGUUAUCAGAGCCUUUAUCAGAAAAGCACAGAUUUCCCAGGAAUCCCCAGGAGACUUCUGGUUACAGUCCAUUGGCCAUAAUGUGGUCAAAUGGGCUUCCCUAUCAACAAGGGAGACAGAGAAAUUAAUUUAUUUCUUUGGAAAAUAAGAGAUAUGAUAUGAUCUAUAUCAAUACAGUAAUUAAUUCACCUGCAACAUGAUCGGCGAUGAAUCCUGGACUCGAAUCUUAAGAACCUAAGAAGAUGUGUGCUGGGGCAGACUGAAUCGUGGAAUUGCUUGCCCAGUUGGACUUCGGAUUUAUGACAGUGCUUUUUGGACUUUAAUGUAGAUAUAAAUCACCUGGGGAUCUGUUUAAAAUGUAGUUUCCUGGCCCAGCAGGGCUGUGAAGGGGCCUGAGAGUCUGCAUUUCUCACAAGCUCCCAGGUGCUGCUGAUACUGCUGGUCUGAUUGGGCCCAGAGGACAUUUUAUAAAUGACCUAUCUUCUUGCAAACUAAUGUUGCAGCUUCUUCUGGCACAGGGAGAGUUAGUGUGUGGCACUACUUCUUUGUUGUAUUUGUAUUCAUGCCUGGAUCAGAGGUCCUAGCCAAUAGUUCUCAGUUCUGGGCGCACAUCUGAAUCACCUGUAGGUGCUCUAAAGAAACAGCACUUGCCUGGGCUUGGCUCUCUGAAAGUUGGGUUUAAUGAACCACGGCCGUAGGCAAUGAAGUAAAACAGGUGCAGAAAUUGCUGUUCUAUUCUACACAGCGGAUCUAUGACAAGUGUGAAAUUUAUCAUCUAAAUGAUAAGAUGAUAAAAUGCAUGUGAAGAAGGACUUAACAUUAAAAUGAUUAAAAGAAAAAAAGCAAAUCUUGAUGUUGAUAUAAAAUAUGACGAACUACCUUCUCAAGAUGGAAAUCAAAGGUAGGCUUGCUCUGAAUGCACCUUUCUCUGGAAACACUCGUGUGUCUAAGUAAGUUGUUACUCAGAAGGAGAGUAGAAACUCGUGCCUAGUUACCUGGAUGAUUAGGUUGGCCAUCUUUAUUCCUGCAGUAACGGCACAUUUUCCAAAAUUAAGCCAUAGUUGAUCGGAUUAUUAUUCCCAUUUUUUAUUCUCUCCUGUGUUAUAGAAUUACAGGACAACCAUGUCCUUGCAAAGUGACUUUGCAGUGCCUCCCAAAACGCAGGGAGAGUAGAUUUCCUUAUCUGACUGAUGUUGGGCUCAGCCAAUGGAAUAUCAUAAUGCAAGCAGAGACUUCAAAUGUUCUCAAGGGGUUUUUUUGGCUUCUAGUACUGUUGCCAUUUCACAAUAAAAUUAUACCCAGGGUAGCAGAGGUUCUGAUUCAGAAGAUCUGGGGUGCCGCUCAGGUAUCUGCACUUAUUAAAUAUUUAACACAGGUAAUUCACUGACUUCUUGGUUUAAAGGACGAGAAAGUAAAACACAUAACAUAGAUGCAUUUUGUCCAAUGCUUUUACAUUCUUUUAACUAAACAUCUAGAAUACAUCAUCUUAUCUGAUAAUUACUAUGAUGGAGUUGACACCAUUUAAUUGUGGAGUGACAUUGUGGUUAGUUUUUCAUAAAGUCAAAGUAUUCCAUUGAAAGAUUUUUUUAUUUUGAGAAUGUAAUAUUUUCUUUUGCUUUUUUUGUUGUUGUUUGAAUUGUUUCUUUCAUGGAAUGGUGGUGACAGUUGGUUAGCUAUUUUUUUUAACUUGGGAAAAUUAAAAGUUGGAAAUCUUAUGUCUGUUUCCAAUUUUGGUGGGGUAUAGGAGUAAGUGCAGAAUUUUUAUAGUACAAGAACCCAAAAGCUAGGGAACCACCUUUACAAUCUAUUAACUUCAUUCAAUGUGGAUCAAUCAAACAUAGAAGAAGAUUAGCUGAUGAUUAAACUAACUUGCAUGUAAGGAUCUUUCCUAGUGUCUGGUAGCAUAAGCAAAAUAUGCCUGAAAGGAAAUCCAUACUAAUUAGCUCCUAUAUGUUAGGACCAUAUUUUCCUAUCAAUUUUUGUUGUGAACUACAUCUUAAGUCAGUGAAAUUUCUCUGCAGAAAACAAAGAUGGAGAAAUAGAUUUUAGCCUAGCAAAUGUAGUGUUUACAUUAGAUUCCACCUGACUACAUAAAAAUGUCAAAAACAUUCUUCCUAAUAGUGUUAUGAGAUGUU
rnacentral:lncRNA from 1 species